rnacentral:pre_miRNA from 11 species
GCCCGCACGGGAAGAUGCAUUAUCCCGUGCGGGCGUCUUAAUCCGACCGCACGGGAUAAUUCCAUUAUCCUGUGCUGUC